AUGCGCCAAUCCGGGAGAAAUGUAAUGAACAUGAAGAUCCAAUCCUCCUGCUGUAACGAUCAAUCCUUCAGCAGAAAUUGCUUCAGUACUUGCACCGACAAUAAAGUCAACAUCGUCCAUGUUACCGGGAUUUCCACCUUUACCAAUGGCAAUGAUUUUUCCGUCUCUAAUCCCAAUAUCUGCCUUGAUAAUCCCAGUAUAAUCAAUAAUCGUCGCAUUUGUAAUAAUGGUAUCUGCUACUAACGGAUUAUCUUCACGCGUUUCAAUUGGAUUUAAUCCCAUUCCAU
rnacentral:sRNA from 1 species